AGAGUUUGAUCAUGGCUCAGGACGAACGCUGGCGGCGCGCCUAACACAUGCAAGUCGAGCGAUCGGCCCGCUAUUCUUCGGAAUGGCGGGUACGGAGCGGCGGACGGGUGAGUAACGCGUACCUGACCUACCCUCCAGAGGGGGAUAGCCACGGGAAACCGUGGGUAAUACCCCAUACGCUCCUACUGGGGCCAAGUUAUUAAAAGAUGACUUGGCUAAGGUAGGAGGAAAGCUGAGGCGCUGGAGGAUGGGAGUGCGUCCCAUCAGCUAGUUGGUGAGGUAAUGGCUCACCAAGGCAAAGACGGGUAACCGGCCUGAGAGGGUGGACGGUCACACCGGGACUGAGACACGGCCCGGACUCCUACGGGAGGCAGCAGUGGGGAAUAUUGGGCAAUGGGGGAAACCCUGACCCAGCGACGCCGCGUGGUGGAAGAAGCCCUUCGGGGUGUAAACACCUGUACGGGGGGAAGAGGAAGGACGGUACCCCCGGAGCAAGGGACGGCUAACUACGUGCCAGCAGCCGCGGUAAGACGUAGGUCCCGAGCGUUGUCCGGAAUCACUGGGCGUAAAGGGUCCGUAGGCGGAUUCCUAAGUCCACUCUGAAAGCUGCCUGCUCAACGGGCAGAGGAGGGUGGAAACUGGGAGUCUAGAGGCAGGUAGAGGCAGGUGGAAUUCCCGGUGUAGCGGUGAAAUGCAUAGAUAUCGGGAGGAACGCCAGUGGCGAAGGCGGCCUGCUGGGCCUGACCUGACGCUGAGAGACGAAAGCUAGGGGAGCGAACCGGAUUAGAUACCCGGGUAGUCCUAGCCGUAAACGAUGAUGGYUAGGUGUCGGGGGGUUAGACCCUUCGGUGCCGCAGCAAACGCGAUAAGCCAUCCGCCUGAGGAGUACGGUCGCAAGGCUUGAAACUCAAAGGAAUUGGCGGGGGCCCGCACAAGCGGCGGAGCAUGUGGUUUAAUUCGACGCAACCCGAAGAACCUUACCAGGGCUUGACAUGCUAGGUUAAGCCUGGCCGAAAGGUCGGGGUGGAGGUGGCCUAGCCACCUCACCUAGCACAGGUGUUGCAUGGCUGUCGUCAGCUCGUGUCGUGAGAUGUUGGCUUAAGUGCCGCAACGAGCGCAACCCCUGUCCCUAGUUACUCCUUGGGAGUAAGAGCCCAAGAGGACUCUAGGGAGACCGCUGGCGAAGAGCCAGAGGAAGGGGGGGACGACGUCAAGUCAUCAUGGCCCUUAUGUCCUGGGCUACACACAUGCUACAAUGGAUGGGUACAACGGGAAGCGAAGCCGAAAGGUGGAGCAAAGCCCUAAAAGCCCGCCGUAGUUCGGAUUGUGGGCUGCAACUCGCCCACAUGAAGCCGGAGUCGCUAGUAACCGUGGAUCAGCAAAGCCGCGGUGAAUACGUUCUCGGGCCUUGCACACACCGCCCGUCAAUCCACCCGAAUCAGGGGCACCAGAAGGCUGGUGACCGUUGAGGGCCGGCUGAAGGUGUGUCUGGUGAGGGGGGAUAAGUCGUAACAAGGUAAC
rnacentral:rRNA from 1 species